AACGAACGCUGGCGGCAUGCCUAACACAUGCAAGUCGAACGAGACCUUCGGGUCUAGUGGCGCACGUGUGCUUACCGCGUGGUAACCUGCCCUUAGGUUCGGAAUACCUCCCCGAAAGGGGUGCUCAUACCGGAUAAUCUCUUCGGACCAAAGAUUUAUCGCCUUUGGAUGGGCCCGCGUUGGAUUAGCUAGUUGGUAGGGUAAAAGCCUACCAAGGCGUCGAUCCAUAGCUGGUAUGAGAGGAGGAUCAGCCACACUGGGACUGAGACACGGCCCAGAAUCCUACGGGAGGCAGCAGAGUGGAAUAUUGGACAAUGGGGGAAAGCCUGAUCAAGCAAUGCCGGGUGAGUGAUGAAGGCCGUAGGGUUGUAAAGCUCUUUUACACGGGAUGAUAAUGACAGUACCGGGAGAAUAAGCACCGGCUAACUACGUG
rnacentral:rRNA from 1 species